rnacentral:rRNA from 1 species
GACGAACGCUGGCGGCAUGCCUAAUACAUGCAAGUCGAGCGAACAGAUGAAGUGCUUGCACUUCUGACGUUAGCGGCGAACGGGUGAGUAACACGUAAGGAAUCUACCUAUAAGCGGGGGAUAACAUUCGGAAACGGGUGCUAAUACCGCAUAAUAUCUUCUUCCGCAUGGAAGAAGAUUGAAAGACGGCUGUGCUUUCACUUAUAGAUGACCUUGCGGUGCAUUAGUUAGGUGGUGGGGUAACGGCCUACCAAUACGAUGGUGCAUAGCCGACCUGAGAGGGUGAUCGGCCACAUUGGGACUGAGACACGGCCCAAACUCCUACGGGAGGCAGCAGUAGGGAAUCUUCCGCAAUGGGCGAAAGCCUGGCGGAGCAAUGCCGCGUGAGUGAAGAAGGCCUUCGGGUCGUAAAACUCUGUUAUAAGAGAAGAACAAAUUGUAGAGUAACUGCUACAGUCUUGACGGUAUCUUAUCAGAAAGCCACGGCUAACUACGUGCCAGCCGCCGCCGUAA